CCUACGGGAGGCAGCAGUGGGGGAUAUUGCACAAUGGGGGAAACCCUGAUGCAGCGACGCCGCGUGUGGGAAGACGGUCCUCUGGAUUGUAAACCACUUUCCCCAGGGACAAAAAUGCCGUUCCCUGGGGAGACACCUCGGGCUACCUACGUGCCAGCAGCGCCGGUAAUCCGUAGGGACCGAGGGUUGCCCGGAAUUCCGGGGUGAAAGGGGAGCGUAGCCGGGGUGGCAGGUUGGGUGUCAACACCACCGGCUCACCUGGUAGUCGCACUCAAAACUGCAGCGCUGGAGUGAAGGAGAGGCAGGCGGAAUUCCUAGUGUAGCGGUGAAAUGCGUAGAUAUUAGGAGGAACACCAGUGGCGAAGGCGGCCUGCUGGGCUGUUACUGACGCUGAGGCUCGAAAGUGUGGGGAGCAAACAGGAUUAGAUACCCUGGUAGUC
rnacentral:rRNA from 1 species